rnacentral:rRNA from 1 species
UACAGAGGUGGCAAGCGUUGUUCGGAAUUACUGGGCGUAAAGGGCGCGUAGGCGGCCUUCUAAGUCAGACGUGAAAUCCCCCGGCUUAACCUGGGAACUGCGUCUGAUACUGGGAGGCUUGAGUAUGGGAGAGGGAUGUAGAAUUCCAGGUGUAGCGGUGAAAUGCGUAGAUAUCAGGAGGAACACCGAUGGCGAAGGCAGGUCUCUGGGCUGUAACUGACGCUGAGGAGCGAAAGCAUGGGGAGCGAACAGG